rnacentral:lncRNA from 1 species
GCUCGUCCCUGACCACCACUCAUAAGGAAGGCAAUCAAAGAAACACCUCAUGCUUCAAAUUUGUUACACAACGGUUACCAUACGUGCAUGCUACGGGACUUGCAAACCUCAACACAAGUAUUUCUCAAUUCCACAAUUACUCAACUAGCAUGCCUCUAAUAUUACCAUCUUCAUAUCUCAAAACAAUCAUCAAGUAUCAAACUUCUCAUAGUAUUCAAUGCACUCUAUAUGAAAGUUUUUAUUAUACCCAUAUUGGAUUCACAUCAUAUUAGGACUAAUUUUAUAACCAAAGAAAAUUACCAUGCUGUUCUAAAAGACUCUCAAAAUAAUAUAAAUGAAGCAUGAUAGAUCAACAAUUUCUUCAAAAUGAAACUACCGUCAUGCUCUAAGAAGAUAUAAGUGAAGCACUAGAGCAAAUGACAAACUACCCAAAAGAUAUACUCCCUCUAUACCGAUAUAUUUGUCGUUGGGGGAUUAUUCCGACCAGGUGAAAACGGGAAAAUGUACCAAACUACCCCUAAUUUGAAAUACUUGUCGCUGGGGAUCGUCGUCUUCCUCCAUCCGCCAUCCGCCCCGCACCCCCGGCGUCCUCAGCUCCUUCACCCUCCGCUGCAGCUCCGGCGUCCUUCCCCGCCGGCCGCCUUCCUCCGCUCCAAUCGAGAGCCUGAGGUCGAUCAACCGCUGGUAUGCCAUCCGCCACAGCGCCGGCGUCCUUCCCAAAUUGAUCCACAUCUCCUGUCCACUACCGCUCCUCUUGAAUUGAUCCAUAGCUCCAAUCCACUGCUGCUCCUCUCAAAUUGAUCCACAGCUCCAAUCCUCUGCUGCUCCGCUGCUUGAUUUUGGCUCCGAUCGUGGUAUAGCUGGUUGUUGAUCCCCUGAGGUAGUGAAGUCCGCCGCUGCUCCAUGGUGUUCAUCGCUUGCCGCCAGUAGUAUCCCUUUCGCCUGGCUGGAGACCUGAAAUUUUGCGUGAAAAUCCCGCAAGAUUGGAGUGAUUUUGAACUGAAAUUUUGACAUCCCUCGUAAGUGCAAAAAGAGAGUAACUGCUGCAGAUACCUGUAUUCUUCGUAUUUGAGUGAUUGGAGUAACAGCUGCUUGGUACUCCAGCUUGGAGUGAUCUGCUGAUUGGAGUACUUGGUUCUUCAACUUGAUCCUCUGCUGUUCAUCAAGUAAAUUGUGGUCAGAUUUUGAAGAUCACACUCGAGCAAACUGUUACUCUGAAUGCUCCGCAGCAUAGUUGCUUAUUUGGACAGCAGAAAAUUGAUCGCAUGAACGACAACAAUAGCAAGAUCAAUUGUGUGAACAGCAACAACAACAAGAUCAACUGAUCACAGGAAUAGCAACAACAGUAGGUGAGUUACUCCAUUUACUAUUAACUUGACAUAUAUGGUCAGUUUACAAAUGUUCACAACAAGCAUUGUAUGGUCAGUAUGAAAAUGGUUGAUUUACUCCAUUUUAAUGCCAAAUUUAUACUCCAUGAGACUUGGUAUGAAUAUUGUCAACAUCACAGUAAAUUUAUACACAGAACAUUAUUGAGUAUGUUCAGUAAGGUGCUUUGUUGAAUUAGUAUGAAUAUUGUCAUCAUCAUAGUAAAUUCAUACAAAUUCAGCACCACAGUACUCCAUGAGACUUUGCACCACUACUAGUGCUGGUUCGCACUACUAAUCCAUGCAUGGAUUGCACUACUACUCCAUGAGACUUGUAAGGAAGUUGGGUUUCUGCAGUACCAAAAAUAGUGAGUAGGAGUAUAGCAGAAACAGGUGCAAAAGAACAUCAAUAAACAGGUGUGAAAAAACAGGAGUACCAAAUCAGUUAACUAAAUUUUUAAAUGAACUUGAGUUACACAGUUACACUGACAUAAUUACUCCUGAACUUUAAUUGCGUUAAAGGAAAAGAUUUCAGUUUAUCUUGAUUAAUAGAAAGAAGUUACAUUUAGUUUUACUUAAAGGAAAAGAUUUCAGUUUAUCUUGAUUAACAGAAAAAUGUUACUCCUACACUAUCCUGAAAAAGUUGCACAAAUCUCUACCGCCAAGCCUUGCAUUCACAGAAAUAAAGUACUCCAUACUCCAUACUGUACAUCCUUCCAUAAGCAAAGAAGAUGCACAUAAAUCUCUACUCCAUGCUUUAUUGAAUUUAGUGAAUCAAGUCCGAAGAAGCUACAGGAGAUCACUACAAAUCUCUAAUCCAUGCUUUAGCACAUUCAAUUACACACAGGAUAUCACAGGAGAAGAUGUGGAGGUCCCAUAAAUCUGUGAGACCAGCCAAAUUUCAUUGCUUGAGGCCCAUUUAGACAAUUUUGAUAGUGAUAAACUUUAUUUUAUUUUAGUCAAAGCAUCAGAGUGACAAAGCUUAUUUUAUUUCAGUUUCAAAUUUUCAGUUUUUAUAGUGGAUACAGUUUUGGCAGUAAAACUCUGCAGUACUCUAAUUUUACAAACUGAAAAUUAUGACAAUACAAGCAGAUCUCAAUUUCCAAAUCUGUACAAACUGCGCCAGAAUAACAGUUUCUGAAGAAGGGUCUCUGAAGAUUUAUGUAGUUUUCUGCAGUUUCAGAUUUCUGCAGUUUUAUCGUCUCUGAAGAUAAGUUGCAGCAAGCAAGCAAAUAGGGUGGAGGGUGAUACCUUCCGUCCUUGGCACAGCGUCUCUGGCACUAUGAUGGGAGGGGAGCAGCGGUGGAAGAAGCAAAGCCGGACGAGCGGUGGUCUUCCGUCCAACCAACCAGCAGAGUGGAGGGAGGGGAAGAGAGAGGAGGGACCCUCCAUGAAGAGAGAGGAGGGAGAAGAGACGGGGUGGGUGGAUCAAAUCAAGUCCAGAUGAGCAGCAGCGAGGGAGCUAGGAAAGGGUGACGUACCACACGGCGUUGGAGUGGACGAAAGCCAUUCCAGAUCGAGCCGCCGCACUAGGGAUCAGCCGCCGGAGAAUAAAAAUGAGAUCUUGGCGACGACGACGGAGCCAAUGGAGAGGCGUCGGCCACGCGGGUGAAGGAGAGGCGCCGGCGAAGCGGGGGAGGGAGAGGCGCAGGCGACGUGGGGGAGGGAGAGGCGCCGGCGACGCGAGCUAGGGAGAUGAGCCGGCAACGCAGGCGAGGGAGAGGCACCGACGAUGCAAGCUAGGGAUUCGGCUGGGCAAGACAGAGUGGGCGAG